GACGAACGCUGGCGGCGUGCCUAAUACAUGCAAGUCGAACGCUUCUUUCCUCCCGAGUGCUUGCACUCAAUUGGAAAGAGGAGUGGCGGACGGGUGAGUAACACGUGGGUAACCUACCCAUCAGAGGGGGAUAACACUUGGAAACAGGUGCUAAUACCGCAUAACAGUUUAUGCCGCAUGGCAUAAGAGUGAAAGGCGCUUUCGGGUGUCGCUGAUGGAUGGACCCGCGGUGCAUUAGCUAGUUGGUGAGGUAACGGCUCACCAAGGCCACGAUGCAUAGCCGACCUGAGAGGGUGAUCGGCCACACUGGGACUGAGACACGGCCCAGACUCCUAAGGGAGGCAGCAGUAGGGAAUCUUCGGCAAUGGACGAAAGUCUGACCGAGCAACGCCGCGUGAGUGAAGAAGGUUUUCGGAUCGUAAAACUCUGUUGUUAGAGAAGAACAAGGACGUUAGUAACUGAACGUCCCCUGACGGUAUCUAACCAGAAAGACACGGCUAACUACGUG
rnacentral:rRNA from 1 species